rnacentral:lncRNA from 1 species
CAUAAAUAAGUUUAAUCUUCUCGCAACAAAAAAAGUUUACUCAAUUAGAUUGCAACAUGUUUAGUACAACAUGUAAUAAGAAGCUAUUGUCUAUCACAGUCCAAAAACAACAUUUUUCUUUUGAAGCAAUUACAUUAAUUAGAUAACAAAUGGACAAUAGUGAGACUGUCAAACUCAAGCUUCCAUGUAGUAAGAACUGUAUUUAGCAUCUUCCUCAUCAGAUUAGCAUAGACAACGAUCUAACUUUUCAGAGAGAGGAAUGACAUUACUAUGAAUUUCAUGCUCAAAGAGGACAGACGAAGAAAAUGGUACAGCUUCAUGAGAAUGUUUGAUUGACAUCCACAAUAAUUGGAGGCAUGCCUCUGAACAUAGAAGACAACAAGAGAUCUAACAAGUACAUUACAUGUUUCACUGUAUUUACAAUUAUCUCAAUAUCUGUGUAAGAACACCUUAUGAGAUUAAAACUCUCUGAACAGUUAAAGCCUGAAAUAGUGGACCAUUACCAGCAAAGAAAACAUAUAGACUUCCUAUACUAAAUGACUGACAUGCAUAAAUAUAAAGAAGAAUUGACCUGCUUUAGAGUAACCAUGCAUUACAAUCAUAAAUUAAUAGAAACAAACACAUAUUGAACAGAAGUGUUAUUAUAAAUUAAUAGAAACAAACACAUAUUGAACAGAAGUGUUAUUUAUGAAUCAGAACAGGAAAUCAAAAGGAGAAACAACGUUACAGAGUUAUAAUAAAAGAAGGGGAUUCUUUCACAGCCCACUAGACAAGGGUUGCCUCAUUUGUUUCCCCAAAAAAGCACAAAUCACCUAGUGGAAAAAAGAUGGAAACAUAAAAGAGCAAUUGCAGCCAGAAAAGCACCGUUGAUGAUGACUCGUGCACACAGCACCAAAACAUUUGCAAUUAAUCACUCAGAAGUGCGAUUUCCAUAAGAUAAAGAGGUGUAUAUCAUCAGGUGGUGGCAGUGAAACCACAAAUUUCCAACACAUGAGUCCAGUUCUAAGAUUUGUUAAGCAUACAGCACAAAAGAUUAAAAAUGAAGUUUAGGACACCAAUAGCCGCGGGCCACAAUAACAACUAUUUAGGCCGCAUCUGGAGAUAAGCAUACAAAUUUCCACUAAUUCAAAUAGCUUAGUACAGGGGAAAACUACCCCAAAAGAUUACGAGCUACUCGCUAGCUUAGCAACGGGCAGAAA